rnacentral:rRNA from 1 species
UACGUAGGGUGCAAGCGUUGUCCGGAAUUAUUGGGCGUAAAGAGCUCGUAGGCGGCUUGUCGCGUCGACUGUGAAAUCCCGCGGCUCAACUGCGGGUCUGCAGUCGAUACGGGCAGGCUAGAGUUCGGUAGGGGAGACUGGAAUUCCUGGUGUAGCGGUGAAAUGCGCAGAUAUCAGGAGGAACACCGGUGGCGAAGGCGGGUCUCUGGGCCGAUACUGACGCUGAGGCGCGAAAGCCAGGGGAGCGAACGGG